CAUUUCUUCUUCUUCUUCUUUGUUCUUCUUCUUCUUCAUGUUGCCGAAACCCUUCGGAAACGGCGCCACACGAAUCCUCCCCUCCCUUCUGCCAUUUCUUCUUUCUUCUUCUUCUUCUUCUUCCGCUCUCUGAUGCGCCGCACGAACCACCCAGUCCCUUCUCCCAUCUUUUCUUCUUCUUCUUUCUUCUUUCCUCUCCACGUACCUAAGUGUUGUGGUUGAACCUUGCGCCGCCAUUCACCCACCCUCGCGUGGUCCAUCGGCCUCACCUCACCCUUUGUCUUCGAUUCAUGGCUUGCGCCACCAUAUCCAUCUCCCGGAACUCACCCACCCUCGCGCGGACCGUCGGCCUCACCUCACCCUUUGUCUUCGAUUCCCAUGGUUGAACCUGCUUUCUGAUAUGCAGCAAAUUUGACAAGUCCCUUUCAAAUGCAUAAACUGCAGUGCAGUUGGGUUCCAUGCAUGUUUAUUAAAGGAAUCAGCUGUAAAAUUGGAGAAUGAGGACUAACGAUGCAGCUGUAAAACUGGAGACUGAGGACUAACGAUGAUUUAACAGAGCACUAACGGAAAACAAGAAUUUCCGUUAGGCUCCGUUAAAUAGCCACUUAUAUAUAUAGAAGAUAUUAUAUUAUGUUUGAUAAUGAACAAUUAAUUAUGAUUUCACAUCUGAUCUGACGUUGGUGUCUAGUCAGAGACAAUGAAUUAUUUGCAGCUGAUCAUUGACAAUAUUGGGGUCUUGUGGCGCCAAGGGAAUUGUUUAUGUUUUUCAAUGUCCAGUUGAAGCUGCAUAGGUCGAUCUCACACAUAAUAUUGUAGUACUGUCAUU